rnacentral:rRNA from 1 species
GAGUUUGAUCCUGGCUCAGGAUGAACGCUAGCGGCAGGCCUAAUACAUGCAAGUCGAACGCUCAGUAGCAAUACUGGGAGUGGCGCACGGGUGCGUAACGCGUACACAAUCUACCUCUAAGCGGGGGACACCUCCUGGAAACGGGGAUUAAUACCGCAUAAUAUGCCGAAGUCGCAUGACUUUGGUAUUAAAGCAGCAAUGCACUUAGAGAUGAGUGUGCGUCCCAUUAGGUAGUUGGUGAGGUAACGGCUCACCAAGCCUAUGAUGGGUAGCCGGUCUGAGAGGAUGGUCGGCCACACGGGCACUGAGACACGGGCCCGACUCCUACGGGAGGCAGCAGUAAGGAAUAUUGGUCAAUGGUGGAAACACUGAACCAGCCAUGCCGCGUGGAGGAAUAAGGUCCUACGGAUUGUAAACUCCUUUUGACGAGGAAGAAAAUGUUAGAUUUAUCUAAUUUUGACGGUACUCGUAGAAUAAGCACCGGCUAACUCCGUG